rnacentral:rRNA from 1 species
UACGUAGGGUGCAAGCGUUGUCCGGAAUUAUUGGGCGUAAAGAGCUCGUAGGCGGUUUGUUGCGUCGGCUGUGAAAUCCCCGAGGCUCAACCUCGGGUCUGCAGUCGAUACGAGCAAACUAGAGUGUUGCAGGGGAGACUGGAAUUCCUGGUGUAGCGGUGAAAUGCGCAGAUAUCAGGAGGAACACCGGUGGCGAAGGCGGGUCUCUGGGACGGUACUGACGCUGAGACGCGAAAGCGUGGGGAGCGAACAGG